rnacentral:rRNA from 1 species
AGAGUUUGAUCAUGGCUCAGAGUGAACGCUGGCGGCGUGCUUAACACAUGCAAGUCGAACGAGAACGGGUCUAGCUUGCUAGACUGUCAGCUAAGUGGCGGACGGGUGAGUAAUGUAUAGUUAAUCUGCCCUUUAGAGGGGGAUAACAGUUAGAAAUGACUGCUAAUACCCCAUACUCCUUUUACCUUAAUAGUAAUUGGGAAACGUUUUUUCGCUAAAGGAUGAGACUAUAUGGUAUCAGGUAGUUGGUGGGGUAAGAGCCUACCAAGCCAAUGACGCCUAGCUGGUCUGAGAGGAUGAUCAGCCACACUGGAACUGAGACACGGUCCAGACUCCUACGGGAGGCAGCAGUGGGGAAUAUUGCACAAUGGAGGAAACUCUGAUGCAGCAACGCCGCGUGGAGGAUGACACAUUUCGGUGCGUAAACUCCUUUUAUAUGGGAAGAUAANGACG